rnacentral:snRNA from 1 species
GCGCUCGCUUCAGCAGCACAUACACUAAAAUUGGAAUGAUACAGAUAUGAUCAGCGUGGCCCCUGUGCAAGGGUGACAAGCAAAUUCAUGAAGCGCUCCAUAUUUUG